rnacentral:tRNA from 1 species
GGCGGAGUAGCUCAGUUGGUUAGAGCAGCGUAAUGAUAAUCCGCGUGUCGGGGGUUCGAGUCCCUCCUCCGGCA